rnacentral:lncRNA from 1 species
AUACAAAAUGUCAUCUUAGUGCUCCAAAUCCACCAAUCCCAACUCAACAAAUUGUUCAUCUCCUAAAAAAGUUUCAGCACAAGUUGUUAUUGCAGUGGCAUAUGAUAGACCAUGCUUUGAAGUAAUUACAACAGUUUGAUGCUUUGGGCCAUUGUGGUCCAUUAUGCCAUCACUAUCCCAACAAUCUUUGACAAACCAACCAACAUAAAUUUAUGUUAGCAUCCUUUAAUACACCGUACAUCCUGUCACAUAUCUCUAUCAAUAAAGAGUCACCUUGGC